UGGCUGUCGUCAGCUCGUGUCGUGAGAUGUUGGGUUAAGUCCCGCAACGAGCGCAACCCUUGUCUUCUGUUGCCAUCGGGUCAAGCCGGGCACUCUGAAGAGACUGCCGGUGACAAACCGGAGGAAGGUGGGGAUGACGUCAAGUCAGCAUGGCCUUUAUGUCUGGGGCCACACACGUGCUACAAUGGCCGGUACAAACCGUCGCGAGCCCGCGAGGGGGAGCUAAUCGGAGAAAACCGGUCUCAGUUCGGAUUGCAGGCUGCAACUCGCCUGCAUGAAGUUGGAAUCGCUAGUAAUCGCGGAUCAGCACGCCGCGGUGAAUACGUUCCCGGGCCUUGUACACACCGCCCGUCACAUCACGAAAGCUGGCUGUACUAGAAGUCGCCGAGCUAACCCGCAAGGGAGGCAGGUGCCUAAGGUAUGGUCAGUGAUUGGGGUGAAGUCGUAACAAGGUAGCCGUAA
rnacentral:rRNA from 1 species